UGUAGCUUGACAUUGGGUCUUGGUACUACAUGUACAGGAUAGGUGGGAGGCUUUGAAACCAGGACGCCAGUUUUGGCGGAGCCAUCCUUGGGAUACCACCCUUGUAGUACUGGGACUCUAACCAUAGACCAUGAAUCUGGUCUUGGGACACUGUCAGGUGGGCAGUUUGACUGGGGCGGUCGCCUCCCAAAAGGUAACGGAGGCGCUCAAAGGUUCUCUCAGUACGGUCGGAAAUCGUACGUAGAGUGUAAAGGC
rnacentral:rRNA from 1 species